CCUACGGGUGGCAGCAGUGAGGAAUAUUGGUCAAUGGACGCAAGUCUGAACCAGCCAUGCCGCGUGCAGGAAGACGGCUCUAUGAGUUGUAAACUGCUUUUGUACGAGGGUAAACGCAGAUACGCGUAUCUGUCUGAAAGUAUCGUACGCAUAAGGCUCGGCUAACUACGUGCCAGCAGCCUCGGCAAUACGGAGGAUUCAAGCGUUAUCCGGAUUUAUUUGGUUUAAAGGGUGAGUAGGCGGCCGGGUAAGUUCGAUGUGAAAGCCCUGGGCUCAACUUCGGAAUUGCCUCUGAUACUGUUCGGAUAGAGAGUAGUGGCGGUAGGCGGAAUGUAUGGUGUAGCGGUGAAAUGCUUAGAGAUCAUACAGAACACCGAUUGCGAAGGCAGCUUACCAGGCUACUUCUGACGUUGAGGCACGAAAGCGUGGGGAGCAAACAGGAUUAGAUACCCCGGUAGUC
rnacentral:rRNA from 1 species